rnacentral:lncRNA from 1 species
CCAUAAGUGCUCCCAAAAGACUACUUCAUAAUGGUUGUCUUCAGAUUUCAUCAUGUACAUUACCUACGAUAGAAAACAACUAUCGCUAAGCAUAAAGCUUAGUGGCAUAUAAACUUUGGACUUGGAGUCAUUAAAUUUUCCAAUUUCCUUUUCUGUCAUAGUUAGCUCAAUUUAACAUAAUUUAAAAUAAGUGAACAAAUAUAUCAAACAUAUCAAAUAUCAAACUUUGAAGUGUUUUCAAAUAUCAACAACAAUGUUCAAGAGUCGAGAAAGUGUGAACUAUCAAUCCAAGAGAGUUUACCAUAUAUCCAUAUUUCGCCAAUUUGUACGUCAUGUCAUCACUGUCACACCUCUUUUUUACCACCCGAAAGGGUAUAUAAGGGAGUUUUCCAAUUAAAGUGACAUUAAUCGAAAUGAGAUUAUUUAAUUUAUCAGAGUCGGAAUAGUUUAUUUGGUGUCCCAAGUCACCGAUUUAUUUUAAAAUCCCAAAUCGAGGAAAUUUCGACUUUAUUUUAAAAGUCUGCAAACCAAAAAUUCUAAGUAAAAGAAUUCUAUUAACCCGGGAGAAGGUGUUAGGCAUUUUCGGGUUCCGUGGUUCUAGCACGGUCGCUUAAACUAUUAAUAAUUGGCCUAUUAUCUGAUUUACUACACGUUUUGAACCUAUUGUGCAUUUUAAAAUUAUAACCGCUUUUAUUAAUUUAAAUCCGCUUUUAGGAUUCAUGGGAUUAUUUGCUUGAACAAAUUGUUUUUGGAACACAACGCGAAUCACGCUACAUGAAAUGCACCCGCGAUUCACGACAUAUUUAUUUUAUUAAAAUUCGAAGUUGUUAUGAUCGGGUUACAUGAAAUGCACCCCCCCCCCCCCCGAAUUUUGGAAUUAGGUACCACAACUACGUCACGGCAACCGUACUCGUAGCUAUGAUGAUUUUAUUAUAAACGCACCUAAAGCAAACUACGAGUGUUUAAAAAAGACAUUUUACUAUACUAAGCUAAUACUUAAUGUGAGGGCCAUAAGUUAUGGGUUUUGCUUGUGUAUGACACACCUCAAUUUAUUUUAACAAGGUUUGCAUUUCACUUAAGCAAGACUAAGGACACUAAUAUUUAAAUCCUAAUUUGAAGUUCAAACUAAGAAUCUUUUAAUCAAAGACAAACUUAAAGCGUGAAAGGGCUAGGCUUUUAAAUUAUUUUUUGAAAAGGAGUUUGGGCUUGGGCGCUCAUCACUUGAUUAACUCAGGAAAAAUUCAGCUUUGAAAAGUUGUAUUUGGGCUCAAUGUUUGGCCCAGCAGAAAAAGAACUCAAGGGCUCUUGCUUCUAAAGGAAUUUUAAUCAAACUUGCCCAUAUUGGGCUAAUAUCAGGCGGGCCCAGUUAUAAUUAUCUAAUGUCUGGGCCUAUCCACCUCUACCUUUAACCAUUAAUCACAUAUUUAUAGCAGCUAAAUUUUCAAAUCGUUGUUUUAAACAGAAAUACAAUUUAAAGAUUAAACAUGAUUCUAAACUGAAAAUUAAUCAACUGAUUUGUUUUGAAACAUAAAAAACACAUACAUGAUUUAUGAUAAAAAGAGGCUCCUCAGACUGACCCAAAGUUUGAGCCUAUAGACUAGGCCCAAAUAAUUUGAGGUUAGUCUUUCACUUGGGCUGCAAAUUCAACCCUCUUUAAUCGAAUGAACAGACUUUCAGUUCUACUGAGUGGGCUCAAAACCCAGUUCCUUCACACCACUACUAUUUUGUAAAAUAUAACAAACACAUAAUUAAACUCCUAAUGUGUCUGUUCUGAAUCCUUAGUACAUGACAUUAAAACCUGAUUCAUUACAGUCUUCAAAUAAAUUAAACAGGUUUUCAAAAUCAAUACUUUACAUUAGGACUUAUUACAUAAACUAAUUACAUUAAAAGCUAAACUAUUACAUAUUUGCAUGACUGACGUCAUGAAGAAUUCCUGUCUCUUUUGGACAUGAUUUGUCCAUUAGAGCUUGGUCUCCACUGGUCAAAAACAGCAUGAUUCCCAAUUUUCAGCUUUUGAACCUGCUGAUUUGGCCAACUAGUGGCCAAAUCUGCAGGUAGCAGCUCAUAGCCAAACAGACAAAGAAAGAAAACAAAUGGCUUUAAGUAAAGAGAAGGCCAUCAGAUGAUAGAAAAAAGAAACAUAACUAAAACUUCAUAAUCAGCAUUAAUAACCAGAAUGUUUGGCUAUAAGACAAAGCUAUUUUUUAUGGCAAGAUAAAACCACAAAGGCACUCAUGUGUUAACUAAGUUAUUCAUGCUAAAUCAUUUCAUACUUUAAACACACAUAAUCAAAACCAAUCAAAUGCAUAUCAAGGGUAACUACUGUUAUCAUGAAAGACAUUCAUUUCCACACAUGCCAUUUACAAAUCUGAUUUUUAUAUCAUUUCAGCAAGUCAUUAAGGCAUCACAUAUAGAAAGAGCUAAGGUUAAAUACCUAGAAACAACAACAAAAAUCAGCACUAAUAGAUGACUAAAGUGGCUGAAAAACUUAGAAUAAGAUAGCAGCAACAGGACUCAAAAUCAACAACCAAAAUCAGGAACCAGACUUCCAACAAACAGCUACAGCAGCUAAAACCAGUAUACCCCAAUAAAAACCAAGAAAACAUCCACUUUAAACCAUGCUUCUCAGCUUAUGAAGACCAGAAUAAGAAGUUCUGAAUGUUUUUGGUUGAAAUCAGAAGCCAAAGAAAUCGAUUCUCUUUUAAAAGCAGUAGCUGAACUUGAGAGAAUAUUUUUUCCUAGGGUUUCUGAAAUCUGAUGUAUUUUUCAGAACCUUUUGUGCAGAGAAUGAUGAUGAAUGUAUGUGUGUGAAUGAGGGAAUAUUUUUCUUUUAUAGAGUGUUUUAAAAUGGCAUCAAAAAACCAUAUUCUAACCUAAAUCUCUAAAAAUUAGAAUAGUACAGAAUCUUGACAGGGAUAAAAUGUCCAGCUAUCCAUUUUCAGCAUCGUUUUUAAACCAAUUUAGAUAGUUGGUACACUUCUAGAACUUUCUUCCUUUAGAUAUUUUAUUUUUAAUAAAGUUCCGCAAUCCCCUAAGUUUCCUUUUAGUCUAAUUAAGUCCCUAUAUAUUCUAAUGAUGUAAAAAGUCAGGACAAAAGCCAUAAAUCAAAUUAAAAGGGCAAACAGAAUGAUAAUGAUGCAAUGUUGACCAUGAGACUGACCUAAAAAGCAUUAAUCUAAUUAAACCUAAAUAACACUGAAUUCAAAUGAAUAAUGCAUCUAUAUUUAAACAAAACAGAAUUGCAAAGAUAGACUAAAAAGACCCUAAAAAUUCUGAACCUAACAUGAAAGAACAACGAAACCUAAUUAAUCUAACUCAUGCAAUUGAAUAAUGAAAUUCAGGCAUGCUUCAAUUAACUUACCAAACAAAAACAAAUGAUCAACUAAGCAAUUGUGAAUAAAGAAAAGAAAACCUAAAAUUAUAGCCCUAAAACAUGCGGCUAAAGGAAGCAAUUAACAUGAAGAAGACAAUUAACAAGAAAGUAAUAUAAACAGAAAAGGAAAUUACCUAGUUUUGUUCCAAACUGGACCCUACUAUGAACUCGGCCAAACUUCACAAGGCAGAAAUGAACUCGAACUACCAUUAAUCGAAUGUUAUUAACAAGAACAGUAGACUAAUGGAUGCUUUGGGUUCACUUGACCAACCACUGACCAAGAAAAGACGAAAAGGAAAAUUCAGGUUUUUCCGAAAUCUUAGAUUUAAAAUUCGACAAGAUUGGGGCUGAUUUGAGAGGAACCAUGGGGAUAUUUGGGGAGAGGAGAAGGGAGGGAUUGCAUGGUGUGAAUUUGGUGGCGUUUGGGUGACUUAGGGUUUAGAAACUGAUCUUCGGAUCUAAGAUUCGAGGAUUUGGGUAGGGAUUUUGGAGACAAAGCUCGUGGAUUUGGAAAGAGGAAGGGACAGGGGUUAUGGGGUGUUAAUUUGAAGGUGUUUGGAGCACCGGAAUCGCCGUGAGGCGAUUUCCGGUGGCGGUUGGCGGUGGAGACGGUGAAGUAUCUUAGGGCGACUAGGGUUUGGGGGUUAGAUAUAGAGACUGUGAGAGAUACAGAGUGAU